AUGGGUCGGGCUGGGCUGGG
rnacentral:miRNA from 1 species